UUGCAGUUAAAAAGCUCGUAGUUGGAUUUUGGUUAAGAGGGCGCGGUCGGCCGUUUGGUCUGUACUGCGUUGUCUUGACUUCCUGAUGAGGACAUACUCUUGGUUAACGCUGAGACAUGGAGUCAUCGUGGUUACUUUGAAAAAAUUAGAGUGUUCAAAGCGGGCUUACGCUUGAAUAUAUUAGUCAUGGAAUAACACUAUAGGACUCCUGUCCUAUCUCGUUGGUCUCGGGAUGGGAGUAAUGAUUAAGAGGAACAGUUGGGGGCAUUCGUAUUUCAUUGUCAGAGGUGAAAUAUCUUGGAUUUAUGAAAGACGAACUUCUGCGAAAGCAUUUGCCAAGGAUGUUUUCAUUAAUCAAGAACGAAAGUUGGGGGCUCGAAGAUGAUUAGAUACCAUCCUAGUCUCAACCAUAAACGAUGCCGACUAGGGAUUGGUGGAUGUUAAUUGAUGACUUCACCAGCACCUUAUGAGACAUCAAAGUUUUUGGGUUCCGGGGGGAGUAUGGUCGCAAGGCUGAAACUUAAAGGAAUUGACGGAAGGGCACCACCAGGCGUGGAGCCUGCGGCUUAAUUUGACUCAACACGGGGAAACUUACCAGGUCCAGACUUAAGUAUGAUUGACAGAUUGAGAGCUCUU
rnacentral:rRNA from 1 species